GGGAGUAGGAGGAGGCGCCUUUUCAGCCUGUACCCCAAAGUGAGCUGAUUACCUACCAAAGAACUCCGAUCACCCAUGAAAUCAGCCUGAGAUCAGAAUUAUACACGUCUGGAUCUCUAUAGGGGCAGAAGACACCAGUGGGCAGACAUAGGUUCAGAGGAUUGAAGAGGGAGAUCCAAGGAGCUAGCCUCUCAAGAGGAGUGAAUACCUAGUCACUGGAAAAUUUCCAGUUCUCAGUAUAACUGCCCACUGGCCCAGGGGUGGACAAGUGAGUCAGAUGAGACCAAAAUGAAAAUUCUGUUGAGACACUGGACCUUGAGGAUUCAAGCCAAGGACGAAAAAGUAGAAGGCCACUAGAAACAGCAGGCUCCUGUCCCUCCAUGCAGAACAUCUGUCAACAACUAUGGACAUCUUUUGCUCCCCCAUUCCUAUGAAUGUUGCUCAGUUGUUACAUGGCAUGGACAAAUGCUGCUGGCUGGUGGCAUGGACACACUGGACAAGCUUGGCCUUCGGUAAAACAAAGACUGGAUUCAAUUACUCAAACUGAAACAGGAAUGCUUGGAUGAACAAGCCUGCCAGGAAGUCCCACUGGAGGUACUCAACCUGUGCCCCUUCCCUCUUUGGACCAAGAACCUGACCUUGAGAGAUGAAUGGCUUAUCCAAGGUUAUGGCAAGGUUACACAGAGCUGAAACUAGACACAGGUGUACAUGCUUAUUGAUCAAGGCUGGCUGUGAAAUGGAAUUGCCUCAAAUCUUGAUUCUUUUUGCCACUUCUUAUUCUCUGACCCUGUUUUUCCAUAGUUUAGGAUGUAGGAAUAAUAAAAAUAUCAGCUAAUGGGGUAUCCUGACUUUUUGAUGU